UUUAAACGCAGCCAUGAGUUUCCGUAUCCAGCUUUAAUCAUCUAUCUUAUUUAAAUAUUUUUUAUGAUUAAUAUUUUUAUUGUUAUUAGAUAAUAAAACAUAAAUAGUACACUAUGUGUGACUUAUGUUUUUAAUUUUUUAAAAAAGUUUUAAAUAAGAUAGAUGAUUAAAGUUGGAUACGAAAACUGAUACCUGCUCAUGAA
rfam:Oryza punctata chromosome 1, whole genome shotgun sequence.